ensembl:lncRNA
GUCAGUCCUUAAUCACUCACCACAAGAUCUGUCCAAGCAAGAAUAUAAACACCAGUUCAGCCAGCCAUCCUUCUCCAGAGAGGGAUUCUUCUGACUGUCCUCAAGAGACUGCCUUCAAGAGCCUGUUUCCAGAGCUCUCUCCCAACAGCCUCCUUAGAGCCUGUUCUUUCUUAGGAGACUGUCAUCUCCUUAUAUAGUGAAUUUUCUCCUAUGUCACCUCCCCUAAGUUCUCCCAUCUACCAAUCACAGUAGAUAUUUUUCAAAGGACAGACCAUUCUUAGUUCACACCUAAGUAGGCUAAUCUUUUGAGUAAUUCACACCAGGAAAGCUCUGAGUAAGUUUCUCACCUCUUUGUUCCUUGUAAAUUCACAAGUUGCUUGACCUUUAUAGGUACUUAGCACCCUUUUUUAUUAGUCCUAAAAUAGGCAUGGCUUAAAGAACUUUUUGUCUUACUAUAAGUAUGGAUUUAAGUAUCUUUCAUUGUUCAACAAGGAGUUUACAACUUUAUCUUCCCCUAGGGCAGACUUAAGUAGGGGUGGAGUAGAGGUCUCACAUUCCUGAUAUAAGUAGAGUUCUCACUUUCCUGAUCUAAGUAGCUUCACUGCCCAAAUGGGGAAUGGUCCCAAUGGGGAAUGGUCCCAAUGGGGAAUUUUAAGGUUCACAAUCCUAGCCUUAUAAAGUAGGGUCUGAGAAUUUUUUAAGGUUCACAAUCCUCCUUGAUUUCUCUGCAUCAUAUGACAGUGUUCAAUUUCUGACUACUUCCUCUUCUUCUCUUGGAUUCUUAGACAAUCUUUUUUUUUAGAUUUCCUCCUUAAUGAGUUGGCAGUCUUUUAAAACUUCUGUCAUUCACCAUAUUCUUCUCACAUCAUUAAAACUGAUUUUCCUCCUCCUCUUUCUUUCUUUCUUUCUUUCUUUUUCUUUCUUUCUUUCUUUCUUUCUUUCUUUCUUUCUUUCUUUCUUUCUUUCUUCCUUCCUUCCUUCCUUCCUUCCUUCCUUCCUUCCUUCCUUCCUUCCUUCCUUCCUUCCUUCCUUCCUUUUUUACCUAAUUUAGCUAAUCUUAUAGGCAUGAGGUGGUACCUCAGAAUUAAAUUUUUAUAUAACCAUAGUUUCAAUUUCUUGAUCGUAGAACUGCCUGCUCAUAUCCUUUUACUUUGUGUCAAUUUGGAAAUUCUUUAUUCUUAUAAUUUUGAUUCAGUUUAUAUAUUUGAGAAAUGAUGUCUUUGUCAAAAUCACUCCCUAUAAUUUUUCUUUCAAUUUCUUGUUUCCCAUAUAAUCUUGUUUACUGUGUUUUUGUUUGGACAAAAUCUUUUUAAUUUAACAUAAUUGCCAUAAUUCAUUUUUUUACUAUGUUCUCUAUAUUUUGUUUGAUUAUAAAUUAUUUCCUUAUCCAUAAGUAUGACAAGUAAAGUGGCAAACUAGUCUUUGUUCCCCUAAUUUGUUUAUGGUAUCAACCUUUACUUAUAGAUCAAGUAUACAUUUUGAGUUUAUCCUGGUUAUGGUGUGAAAUUGUUAUAUCUAUGCCUAGUUUUUGAGCAGUUUUUAGCAGAUAGCAAGUUCUUCCCCUAAAAGCUUCCAUAUUGGGGUUUGUAAGAGAGAAAACCCAGACUCAAUCUGCCAGAAGAAUAAAUGAAGUUGGGGAAGGGCA